rnacentral:rRNA from 1 species
GACGAACGCUGGCGGCGUGCCUAAUACAUGCAAGUCGAACGAAGCUGUUUUAACUGGUGCUUGCACCGACUUAAACAACUGAGUGGCGAACGGGUGAGUAACACGUGGGUAACCUGCCCCAAAGCGGGGGAUAACAUUUGGAAACAGAUGCUAAUACCGCAUAAUCACAGAAACCACAUGGUUUCUGUGUCAAAGAUGGUUUCGGCUAUCACUUUGGGAUGGACCCGCGGCGUAUUAGCUAGUUGGUAAGGUAAGGGCUUACCAAGGCAAUGAUACGUAGCCGAACUGAGAGGUUGAUCGGCCACAUUGGGACUGAGACACGGCCCAAACUCCUACGGGAGGCAGCAGUAGGGAAUCUUCCACACUGGACGAAAGUCUGAUGGAGCAACGCCGCGUGAGUGAAGAGGGUUUUCGGAUCGUAAAACUCUGUUGUCAGAGAAGAACGUGUGCGAGAGUAACUGUUCGUGCAGUGACGGUAUCUGGCCAGAAAGCCACGGCUAACUACGUGCCAGCCGCCGCCGUAA